AGAGCGAACGCUGGCGGCAGGCCUAAUACAUGCAAGUCGAACGCACCUUCGGGUGAGUGGCGGACGGGUGAGUAACACGUGGGAACGUGCCCUUUGGUUCGGAAUAAUCCGGGGAAACCUGGCCUAAUACCGGAUGUGCCCUUCGGGGGAAAGAUUUAUCGCCAUUGGAGCGGCCCGCGUCUGAUUAGCUUGUUGGUGGGGUAAUGGCCCACCAAGGCUACGAUCAGUAGCUGGU
rnacentral:rRNA from 1 species